UACGAAGGGGGCUAGCGUUGCUCGGAAUUACUGGGCGUAAAGGGCGCGUAGGCGGACAGCUUAGUCAGAGGUGAAAGCCCAGGGCUCAACCCUCGGAUGCCGAUCGAUACUGUCGGGCUAGAGUCCGGAAGAGGCGAGUGGAAUUCCUGGUGUAGCGGUGAAAUGCGCAGAUAUCAGGAGGAACACCAAUGGCGAAGGCAGCUCGCUGGGACGGUACUGACGCUGAGGCGCGAAAGCGUGGGGAGCAAACAGG
rnacentral:rRNA from 1 species